UACGUAGGGGGCAAGCGUUGUCCGGAUUUAUUGGGCGUAAAGAGCGUGUAGGCGGUUUGGUAGGUCCGUUGUGAAAACUCGAGGCUCAACCUCGAGACGCCGGCGGAAACCAUCAGGCUAGAGUCCGGAAGAGGAGAGUGGAAUUCCUGGUGUAGCGGUGAAAUGCGCAGAUAUCGGGAAGAACACCCGUGGCGAAGGCGGUUCUCUGGGACGGUACUGACGCUGAGACGCGAAAGCGUGGGGAGCGAACAGG
rnacentral:rRNA from 1 species